rnacentral:lncRNA from 1 species
AGGAAGCCUGCCUGAACCUUCCAGGCUGGUCAAGUGGCCCCCGGCUGGCUCCUAUAACACCCCGCCCCUCCCCCUCUUAGCCUGGGUCCUGGAGUUUUGCUACUGCUGCUCCACCUGCCUGAGGGCUCCAGGAGGGCAGAGAGGGGCCUUACUCAUCUCUGUGGCCCCAGUGCCCAGCCCUGGCCCAGAGCAGGACAUGUCCACAGAGGGAAGGUAUAAGGCAGCAAACCCAUCUCCGUCUCCUCCCCCAGGCUGGUCAGCUGGCUUGGCUGCUGGGAUCGCCUCCAGGUCGGCUCCUGCGUCUGACAUCCCCGCAUCUGUUUAUUUUUUGAGCAUCGCCUUGCUCUCUAGCACUCCAAGACGCUCCUGGCUCCUAUUCCACUGCUGCAGCCCUGGAGUCUGUUGUCUUUCUGAGCUGUGCUGGUUCCUUUUCCUGGAGAGCGGUGUUUGAGAGUGGUGUUUAGGAACCAAGAUCUGGGCCGGAUGUGCUCAUUGCUACUGGGGUGUGACUGCUUCUAGGCCCUCUGGGGGCAGAGCUACGUUUUGCUUUAAUUAAAAAAAAAAAUUAAGUUUCUCCUCUUGCCAGUUGUGGGGGUCUGUUGGAGGCUCCAGACAACAGCCCACUGGCUUUGGAGACCAGACCCCAGUCUGCAGCCCACGGGCCUGUGCAACCUCAUGUGCCCUUAGCAGGGCUCCAAGGGUGAGAGCUCAUGAGGCCACCUGCCCCUAUGUCCCCUUCUGCUCACCACCAGGGCCAUCGGGGGGCCAAGUUGUUUUGGGAAUGGGACUCAGGCCUGGCCUCGGGUGCCCUCGCAGCCCGGAUUGCUGCCAGGUUGCAGGCUUGCCCCCUGCUGGGUCCACAGCUCUGGCAGUGGAGGUGGCAGAUGACAUGGCCCAGUCACAGAGCCAUGGUGGCCACCUGGGGUGGCCAGGCCAGGGUCAGGUCCCAGGAAGGCCUGACUCAGCCACCAUGCCCAGCUCGCCCAGGGGCCCAGUGCUAACGGGAGGAAGGCCUGCCGAGCUGGUCCUUGAGCUCCCUCACCUUUCCCAGCCCCAGCCCGCCUGACAGGGCACCACUCCCUGAUGCUCAGUGCACCAGGGCCCAGAGCCGGUUCCCCAUCAGGGCAGCUCUCCGGCAGCUGCUGGGAGUCAGGGCAGAGCGGGCCAGCCUUGAGACCCAAGGCAAGCUGAACACCCUCCCCACUUAGCCAGAAUGUCUCAUCUGUCUCCCGACAGCUCCAGGCUAGGAGUCAGGAUGCUGGAAUUCCAGGCCUGCCUCUACCAGUGACUUCUGUUUGGGGCACGGCAACAUUGUCUCACCUUGCUUAAAAUCUUCAGUGGCUCCCCAGUGCCCUCAACUUAAAAUCUCCACUUCUGGAUCUGCUUUAGGAGGCCUGGAGACCUCUCCAGCACCCCACCUCAUGCCCUAAUAACACCAAAUCACUUGUGGUUCCCCCUUACACAACCA